AUCUGAAAAUUUGCACAAAAUAAUGCAAAUAAUUCCUAUUUAUUUUGUUCUUCAUACUUUUAAAAACUAAUUGAAUGAAGAAUUUUCUGCUGGAUCUUUAUUUCAAGGUGAACUUGAGUUGCCAUUUCUAGCACUUCUCUUGGUCAUCCUUUCCCCUUAUGAGGUCAUGAGAAUUAGAGACACAAAAGAAGGUGCUAUCAUUUCAUUAUUGAUUGCAGUGUAUUUGGCUUACCAGCAUUUCUCAAGAACAAGUUUACAGAAAUCACUUGAUCAAGGUUCAAUUGUUAUCACCAUAGCUGUUGUUUGUAUCAUUAUUGCAUCUUUGUUGCUUCUGAUCUGAGUUGCUUUAGAAUGAUGUAUACUCAUAAUAUGUUGUACAUAAUAAUUCCUGGUAGUGGUGAUCAUUCUGUAAUAUAUCAUAUCUGGAUUCUGUAAUUUUUCCACUGAUUAUUGCUGAUUCAAAUAAAGAGGUUAGCUUUGUUUUGUGAUAGAAAUUGGCAUUUAGAGAAUGAUUUUAUA